UACAGAGGGUGCAAGCGUUAAUCGGAAUUACUGGGCGUAAAGCGUGCGUAGACGGUUGCGUAAGUCAGAUGUGAAAGCCCCGGGCUCAACCUGGGAAUUGCAUUUGAGACUGCGUAGCUAGGGUGCGGAAGAGGGAAGCGGAAUUUCCGGUGUAGCGGUGAAAUGCGUAGAUAUCUGGAGGAACACCGGUGGCGAAGGCGGCAUCCUGGACCGGUAUUGACGCUGAGGAGCGAAAGCCAGGGGAGCAAACGGG
rnacentral:rRNA from 1 species